AUGCUCCAGCCACCAGCGUGCACACAUGCGCGCACCCACACCCACACCCACGCACCACUAUCCAAGGCCCUAGACGUAGAAAUAAGCUUCAAUAUUCCCUUUACUACCCCUGCCAGUCACCGAGAUAAGUAUAGGAAUGACCUUUCAUACACCCCUCGGGUAUAUUUUUGUGACUUUUACUCUUUAAGGCUUCUCUUAAUAUUCAUUCUGAUCAGAUUCACCUGGAAAGUACAUCAGAGAGAAGACGGGAAAACUCCAGGAUGGUGUGGCUUAGGCCCUCGACCUCUGGAUAGAUCUGCUUCUUUGUUAUCUCUAACAACACCUAACGCAGUGGCCCAGUCUUCGUGCCUAAUGAGGAAACGGAGGGCUGUUGGGACUGAGUGGGCCAGCAGCCUGACUCCAGAGUCUAGAACGAUCUCUACUGCCUUGCAGCACCAAUGGUACUGGCAAGGAUUCUUGCUUUCGAGGAAUAAAAAUGAACUCUGUCUAAAGGGAAAAAAAAGAAUAUUGGAGGAAAGGGAACUCGUAGAGCCCAAGAGACUAGGAAAACUGACAGGAGCCCAGGGACUUAGCAGGCCAGGCCAUGGGAAGACUAUCUAAGACGCCACCAUCCUUGCCUCUGCUGUACAACACCUUCUAGGAAUCACCACUGGGACAUCAUGAUCCCCCAGGAGCUGUCCCAGAGGUUCUUCCUUCAUCUUGUGGGGAGGCCUGGGUGGGAAAGUCUACUGCCAGGUAUUGGCAUAUUCCAGUGGAGACUGAGAUUCAAACUCUCUGGCUUCCACAGGAAGGUAAGGUCCUAUAUCCCAACAUCACACUCCAUGGAUUUCCCCAAACAUAAGAACAGAUGGGUUUUGACAGCCAAAAGAAAGUUACAGUGUCCUUCCAGACUACCCACGGUAGCCACUUUGUAGCAAAUCAUUCCAUUAGGAAAGUAAAUGUAGGUCUGUUAAAAUAAUUUUGAAAGGUCAGACAUAGGUGAAAUUGUGCAAACAUUAAAUAUUGCAAAUCAAAACCUGACUGACCUAGAAAUUCAUUCUAAUAGAUUUAUUUGCAAUCUCUAAAUGCAAACUCUGAAAAGACAAAUUUAGUAACUCAUAUGCUAAACAUCAAUUAAUUAGAAUGUUUAGGGAAUAGAAUGUUCUUGUUCAUUUCAAUUUCUAACUAAAUGUGAUUAAGCCUCUAAAAAGACCCACAAACUUUUAUAUUUCAGACCUUGCCACUGGAAUUCUUAAUAAAAUAUUUGGAUUGUGAAGAUUUUGCA
rnacentral:lncRNA from 12 species